UCAAGGACACAAUGUAUGGGCAGACGAAUACGUAUUAUAUUUUUACAGAAUUUUCUUAUAUACAUGUAUCAGCGCCCCUGUUGUUGCCCCAACCUACCCGGUGGACCAUGAUUUGAACAACCUUGAAUCUAUUCGAUGUCAGGUAGCUUUCAUCUAAAAUUCUACUUUUCUAGUCCAACUAAUUAAAAGAAAGUUUUAUAAAUGAAAUACAAGUGAGAGAGUUUAGGUAUCCCACUCUUGAGUAUAUUCGUGUAAAGUUAUAGUGCAAACUAACACUCAGGGGAAAACUAAGAAGAGUUUUGUCUUGCUUUUACACUAAACGCAUAAAAACUAGUGUUAUCUAAAUUUAAAGGGACUUUCAUACAAUGACAGACGAUUAAUGAAAUACAUGUAGUAAACAGAGAAUAACUUUCAGAUUUUCAACAAAGUCGUAAAUACCCUUCUGGGUCCUUCAUUAUCCUAAAUUCUCCUAAAGUAGUACUAAAUGACCGGGGAUAAAGUAGAUUUUCUGGAGGUGGGACCUACUGAAGUGGGGGGGGGGUUGGGGUUACUCCGUAACACCAUGGCUUCACCCCCCCCCCCCCCACCCCCACCCCCGACUUAGCCAUGGACACACUGCAGGCAUAACGGCGGACUCUUCAGACCCAUUGCCUCUGAGGAUUUGUCCGCGUCCCCUCCCGUCCCCCGCCUCUCUUAAGCUGAAACCUUACAUCACUCCCGCUUACGCGCCAUAAUCACUGUCAUGAUCGUGUGCAGGAUUGGACAAAACAAGAUGACAGACGGCAUUUCCAAACAAAGAUCCAGUCAGUAGCGGACUUCCUUAAGCUUAAAAGUUGCAAGUGAAUGAAGUGUGUUCUAUUUUAUGUCUCCUAAUAAAACCAUGGUUUUGACAAACCUAAAAGAGCACGUGGAGCAAGGAACUAUCAGUAAGCCGGAAGAGCCAGCUCGAAAAUCUUUACGUGUUUGAGAAUUGCACCGCGCACAUGAAUCUGAAGUUCUGUCACACGUUAGAAGGAGCCUUGUUGUCGAAGAUCAACAUGUUGAAAAGUCUUCAUUUUGCAGAAGCAAAUACAUUUAUAUUGUAUAUACACAUGUAGACCAUGUUCGAUUCCCAACCACUUAACAUUUGUGAUAUCUGCAUGGAAUUAUGAAAACUGAGCAUGGUUUGACGUUUAAUAAUCUCUUCAGGCAUGAUGGUUUACAUUUCACAAAGCUGUUCAAUGACAAUAAAGACAAUAAGAUGU